rnacentral:rRNA from 1 species
UACGGAGGGGGCAAGCGUUGUUCGGAAUUACUGGGCGUAAAGGGCGCGCAGGCGGCUGCUCAAGUCAGGCGUGAAAGGCCUGGGCUCAACCCGGGAAUUGCGCUUGAGACUGGGCUGGCUUGAGUGCGGGAGAGGAUGGUGGAAUUCCCAGUGUAGAGGUGAAAUUCGUAGAUAUUGGGAAGAACAUCGGUGGCGAAGGCGGCCAUCUGGACCGCAACUGACGCUGAGGCGCGAAAGCGUGGGGAGCGAACAGG